rnacentral:rRNA from 1 species
GCGAAGAACCUUACCUGGCCUUGACAUCCGGGGAACUUCCAGAGAUGGGCGGUGCCGCAAGGAGCCCCGAGACAGGUGCUGCAUGGCUGUCAUCAACUCGUGUCGUGAGAUGUUGGGUUAAGUCCCGCAACGAGCGCAACCCUUGUCCCUAGUUGCCAGCGGUUCGGCCGGGAACUCUAGGGAGACUGCCGGUGAUAAACCGGAGGAAGGUGGGGAGGACGUCAAGUCAUCAUGGCCCUUAUGGCCAGGGCCACACACGUGCUACAAUGGGCGGUACAAAGGGUCGCGAACCCGCGAGGGGAAGCCAAUCCCAAAAAGCCGCUCGUA